UACGGGGGGAGCAAGCGUUGUUCGGAUUUACUGGGCGUAAAGGGCGCGUAGGCGGCCACUGCAAGUCAGUUGUGAAAUCUCCGGGCUUAACCCGGAAAGGUCAACUGAUACUGCAGGGCUAGAGUGCAGAAGGGGCAACUGGAAUUCUCGGUGUAGCGGUGAAAUGCGUAGAUAUCGAGAGGAACACCUGUGGCGAAGGCGACUCUCUGGGCUGUAACUGACGCUGAGGCGCGAAAGCGUGGGGAGCAAACAGG
rnacentral:rRNA from 1 species